CGUCCCCUUCACUUCCCUUUCCUCUCAUCUUCUCAUUCCAUAGUCCAUACCUCACUUCCCUAACUCCUCUUACUCCCUCAACCACUAGCAAAUAUAAUCACCACCGCCAUCAUCAUAGACGCCACCAACAAGAUGUCGUACCCAACAAUGCUCACCCAAUACAACCUCACUUCUCGUAGCGGCCACCAGUGACCAACAAGCUGUCGUAGCCCGACUUGCUUCUCCGUGCUCCAUCCCACAACACUGGCCACCACCCGGAUCGAACUCUACACGACUUCCUUCAAUCCGCCUAAAUCUCCCUCACACCGGAAGUAGUAACGAUCGUCUACCACUGUGUAUGUUAGUGCGACUACUCUAUUUUUAUGCGCCAUUUGUAAGUGUUUGGUAUGGAUGCUCUGUUCUAAUGUGUUGUUGGUGGAAGCACAACUAUUAGAUUCGAUGAUUGUGGUGGUAACGAGUUGCAAGGGGUGGCAGCAAUGGUGGUGGUUUUAGUGAACUUGUAAAGUUAUAUUUUUCCUAAAGGAUUUAAGUUGUAAUUUUAUUUUGGCAUGUUAAGUUGUAAUUGAAAUUUUUGUAUUUUUAAUUUAUUUGAUAUGAAAAACUUAUCAUUAUUGUGGUUUGUUUAA